UACGUAGGGUGCAAGCGUUGUCCGGAAUUAUUGGGCGUAAAGAGCUCGUAGGCGGUCAGUCGCGUCUGCUGUGAAAACUCGGGGCUUAACUCCGGGCCUGCAGUGGGUACGGGCUGACUAGAGUGCGGUAGGGGAGACUGGAAUUCCUGGUGUAGCGGUGAAAUGCGCAGAUAUCAGGAGGAACACCGAUGGCGAAGGCAGAUCUCUGGGCCGUAACUGACGCUGAGGAGCGAAAGCGUGGGGAGCGAACAGG
rnacentral:rRNA from 1 species